GCCGCCCUCCCAGAUCUUCCCGCCGAGCCCAGGCGCGGGGCAUGAGGAGCCCCUGGGUGUCGCCUGCAGACAACCCAGCCUCGCGCACACCUCGCCAGUCGCUGACAGGGACAUGAACAGCAUGAUUGGGUUCCGGUGUCCGGCGGCCAUCCUCAGCCAGAGGCGGCCAGUGGGUCUGCGCUGCUUGGGAGAAUGAGGCAGGAACCCACGGCUACCUCUCUCUCCUCUUUCUCCUCGCCUUCCUCUGGCUCCCGCGCCCCGGACCCGGGCCGGGCAGUAGCUCUGCUGCGUGCCCUGCGCGCCCCCCACCUGCCUCCGGAUGCUCUUCUCGGUUAGCCUGGCGAGGAAGAUAAAGACAUUUGCAACCAAGAUGGUAAUCACGAGUGGCAAUGAUGAAGACCGGGGAGGCCAAGAGAAAGAGAGCAAAGAAGAGAGCGUGUUGGCCAUGCUUGGCAUCGUCGGGACCAUCCUGAACCUGAUUGUCAUCAUCUUUGUAUACAUAUAUACCACUCUAUGAAAGGCCCCAUGCAGCCUCAGUGGCCUCAGGAUGGCCAUGAGACAAGGGUCCUGUGUGUCCAUAUCUCGGUGACCACACACUGCUCCAUCAAUGCACCUUCGAACUUUCUGACGGGUCACCAGAUGAACCCGUCCUGCUGUGAGGAGCAGACACUCUGAAGCACAAUGAAUCCAGCGGGACUUAUUCAGGCCACAAGGAACUCAGCACGCCUGGCAGGGGACCAGGCAGGAUGCUGGAAAGACCAGCCUUCUGCACCAUUGGUGAGCAAACGGGUGAGGAAAUGCUUCACCCCGUAGUGCUGACCACAUCCCACACUGGAAAGAGGAUGCGUGGGGCGGACACAGCUUGGCUGCCCUCCUCCCAGGAUCCGUAGGAUAAGUGCUAGGUGUGGUUCGCUGACAGGCAUUCCAUUCAUCAAAUGUUUCCAGCUGUUUGAUACGGGAGAUAACUUAUUUUUCCUUUCUCAUUGGCUUGAUGUGUGUAUCUGUUCAUACCGAGGUUUAUAAAUCUAUAUUUUUAAUAAAUGUGCUCUAUUUUUUAGCAUGAACCAAAUAUUUGGAGAAGCACUUCUGGAUCCAUAACUCUUCUUGGUUUUAAUCGAUUUCGCUCCAUCAGCUGCAAGACAUCUUUGUCUGUAGUCAUCCAGUUGUCGCAGCUCGUCUCAAGCCUUGCCUCAGGCUCUCCUUUCUCCUCCUCGGUCCCCCCCCCCCCGCCCCCCGCUCCUCUCUCUCUCUCUUCUCUCUUUCCCCUUCCUCACCCUUCCAUCUCUAAUUCUCCUAUCCUUCCCUCCCACCCACCUCCAUCUACUGUCUCCUCUUCUCAUCUCUUGUCUAGAGGACAUUUUCUCAUAAUACCAGCCAUGGUCUUGGCUGGUGUGUGUUUCAAGAUUGUUGAUCGGCUUUUCGUUGUUCUGUCAGAGAUAUAAAAUGAUUGUGGGCAUGCAGACCUUAGAUGCACCCUGUCUUUACUGAGAAUUAUGCAUGAACAAGGUCAGAUCAGCUUCCCAAGUUUUAAAAGGACUACCACGGAGGAAGACGAGCGCCCAGCCCUGCCUGCAGGUCACCCUUGGGACGGAGCCGUCACCAGCUCAAGCGCAGUAUUGCUCGUGUGCUCCUGUAACCAUCCGAUUAUCAGAUUUUGAUUUGAUUUUUUUGUGACCACCGAGAGACGGGAUCGGGGAGAGCUCAAUGUUCAGUGUGACAGCUAUCCCUUCCUUGGUGAGGAGCCUGGGGAGGUCUCUUCAGAAGUCAGUAGGAUGUGAGGGAAGUGAGGUCUCCCCACUGUUGAGAGUGCACACAGUAAGACACAGCGGUGACAAGUGACCCUUCAAGGGCAUUGGGAGGGGACUUAAUGAUCUCUGUAAAGGAACCCUGCACAUUUUAAAGCCGUUUUCCACCCACACAAAUCUCUUUCUUCUCUGAGGGGAUGGUUGAAUAAAUACAAAUUUGCCCUGCCUCUGGCUCCCUAACAUAGCCCCAAACUGGCUGCAGUGUACAGCCCUAAGGAGAGGGUCAGUGUUCAUUCUGCCAAGGGCGGAAAUGGCAGCAGCCUGCCCCUUUGGAUUCAGAUGACACUAAAGAGGUGGGGGAGGGUGUCUCUGCUUGCCUCCUUCCUUAAAUGGCACCAUGAUGGAGUCAUCUCUUGGACUCCACUAAAAGGACUAGAGACUUAUAAAUCAAAUACUCAUGAGUACCUGGCUCUGCCCAGAGAUGUCUCCUCUUACCCACCAGAAAGAUAGAUACUUUGUACAUAAGUCACCAGGCUCUCAUAAUAGCCAGUGAAGAGGGGGUCUCUCUCCUGUGUCAUAGAAGAAGCAAGGACAGCUCAGAUCCAGGAAUCUUCCCUGAGAUUAGCUGGUACCCAGUGGAGUCAGAUUCUAGCCUCGGUCUGUCCAGUUCCUUAUCCCAGCAAGGACCUGGAUGCUGUUGUGGGAGGAGGAAGGUAACUGUGGCUGGAAAGCCUGUCACUUUGCUGAGGUCAACCCUACGUGAGUGCUUGCACACGUUCAUAUAGACACAGACACACACACAGAUACACACACACCCCAUAACAGGAAACCACCUAAGAACUCUUUGGACACUGGCAGAAUAUAAUACAAAUAGAUGGGAGAGAAGCUGGUUAGGAACAUGGGAGGCAUCUGGGGGUGAGCACUACCUACCAGGCUGUGUGAGUCUAGACAAACUGUAAUUCGGGACAGUGGACUAAACAAACAAUAAAGGUGCAGCGGGGGAGGGGGAAACCAAUUGGUGUUGUCAACUUCCUUGUGAGCCUGUGUGUAAUUGUUUGAUUUAAUAAAAAUUGACCGUGGCUGUAUGUACUUUA